GCCAACACUAGCCCUAAGCAUAACCAACACUAAUACCAAACCAACAUGCACUAAACCAUUCACCUACACAAAGUAUAGGCGAUAGAAAUUUUAAUCUGGCGCUAUAGACACAGUACCGUAAGGGAAAGAUAAAACCCACCCAAGCACAAAACAGCAAGGACUAACUCCUGUACCUUUCGCAUAAUGAAUUAGCUAGAAACAAUUUCACAAAGAGGACUACAAGCCAAAUUCCCCGAAACCAGACGAGCUACCCAAAAACAGCUAAAAGAGCGCACCCAUCUAUGUGGCAAAAUAGUGGGAAGAUUUCUGGGUAGAGGUGACAAGCCUACCGAGCCUGGUGAUAGCUGGUUAUCCAAGACAGAAUCUUAGUUCAACCUUAAGCUUACCUACAGAACCACCUAAUCCCCCUGUAAGCUUAAUUGCUAGUCUAAAGAGGGACAGCUCUUUAGACACUAGGAAAAAACCUUGUAGAGAGAGUAAAACCCUCAAUUACCAUAGUUGGCUUAAAAGCAGCCAUCAAUUAAGAAAGCGUUCAAGCUCAACACUAACCACCCCAAAAAUACCAAACACAUAACUGAACUCCUCACACCACAUUGGAUUAAUCUAUCACCAUAUAGAAGCAAUAAUGCUAGUAUAAGUAACAUGAAUAUUUUCUCCACUGCAUAAGCCCAAAUCGGAUCGAAAACCUCACCGAUACCUAACAGCCAGGCAUAGCAAGCACAAACAAGCCCAUGCUACCUUCACUGUUAACCCAACACAGGCAUGCCUCAAGGAAAGGUUAAAAAAAGUAAAAGGAACUCGGCAAACUUAAACCCCGCCUGUUUACCAAAAACAUCACCUCUAGCAUUACUAGUAUUAGAGGCACUGCCUGCCCAGUGACACACGUUUAACGGCCGCGGUACCCUGAC
rnacentral:rRNA from 1 species